UUAAUCAUCAUAGAAAAGCCUAUUGCAACACAAAAGGGUCUCUUUGUGUUAUUCUUGUCUUCUGCCUUCUGGAAAUCCCCACAGUAUCAGAUAAUCUAGCUGAAUAUCAGUGUCCCUGUGAUUAAGCAUCUAUUAUGAAAGAUCCUUAAUCCAUCCUAUCAUUUUUACUGAAACAGUAACUGAAACAAAGCUGUUUACCUGCCCCAGUAGCCUGGUUUAGCUGGAAGUGGGCAUUUUAUAACACAAUUUUUUAACAGUGGGUGGUGGUAGCAAAUACCAACAGACAUGAAAUAGAGGAACAGCCUUUUGUAUGAGUUAACACAAGUAUGAAUUCCUGCUGGUUGGGUUUGCUGCUUGUGUGCUACUUAUUCACACAUGAUUUUCACAGUGGGCAUCAAAGAACACUGAAAAUUUGGGCUCAGGUGGUCAACCUUUUUUAUUCUAUAAUACACAGUGUCACUCAUCAGCUGUUACUUUUAAUUGCUGGGUGUUGGUCUCAGACACAUACUGAACCAUAAGAAAGAAGCCCAUCAAAAAAAUCAAUCAGGAACUUUGGUGGAAGAGUUUAUUUAAGCAUUGCUGUUAUCUGUUAAGUACAACAAGAAAUCUUCAGACACAAAGGAGAAGGAAAAUGUACAGUUACAUACAAUGGCUGAUUGCUGUUACUAUAAAAGGAUUACCAGAAGUGUUCAGAGCAGAGAGCUAGAACUUCUGGGAAAACAGGACAUGAACUGGACCAUGGAUGGUGCUUCCAGGCAAGAAGCAUUUAUAACUACCAGGAAUAAAGCCCACUGAAAAACAGAUUGCUGCUUCAGUGCUGGUAUAAAACUGAAAUUAUAAACUUGCCUGAUGAAUUGCUGAGUGGCUCAGAACAACAGAUUUCGACUACAUCAGA